rnacentral:rRNA from 1 species
GGAAUAUUGGGCAAUGGGCGAAAGCCUGACCCAGCGACGCCGCGUGAAGGAAGACGGUCCUCGGAUUGUAAACUUCUUUUAUGUAGGACGAAGAAAUGACGGUACUACAUGAAUAAGCCACGGCUAACUACGUGCCAGCAGCCGCGGUAAUACGUAGGUGGCGAGCGUUAUCCGGAUUUACUGGGUGUAAAGGGUGUGUAGGCGGGAUUGCAAGUCAGAUGUGAAAAUUAUGGGCUCAACUCAUAACCUGCAUUUGAAACUGUGAUUCUUGAGGGUCGGAGAGGUAACCGGAAUUCCUGGUGUAGCGGUGAAAUGCGUAGAUAUCAGGAGGAACACCGGUGGCGAAGGCGGGUUACUGGACGAUUACUGACGCUGAGACACGAAAGCGUGGGGAGCAAACA